rnacentral:misc_RNA from 1 species
GAUGAAGAACGUAGCGAAAUGCGAUACGUAAUGUGAAUUGCAGAAUUCAGUGAAUCAACGAAUCUUUGAACGCAUAUUGCGCUCUCUGGUAUUCCGGAGAGCAUGCUUGUUUGAGUAUCAGUAAACACCUCAACUUCCAUAUCUUUUUUGAAAUGGGAGUUGGACUUGAGUGAUCCCAACGCUUUUCCUCACCGAAAAGUGGCGGGUUACUUGAAAUGCAGGUGCAGCUGGACUUUUCUCUGAGCUAUAAGCAUAUCUAUUUAGUCUGCCUAAAAACAGAUUAUUACCUUUGCUGCAGCUAACAUAAAGGAGAUUAGUUCUUGUGCUGACUGAUGCAGGAUUCACAAAGACAGGCUUCGGCCGACUUUGUAAACUCGAUCUCAAAUCAAGUAAGACUACCCGCUGAACUUAAGCAUAUCAAUAAGCGGAGGA